UACAGAGGUCUCAAGCGUUGUUCGGAAUUACUGGGCGUAAAGCGUGCGCAGGCGGUUCGUUGUGUCCGUCGUGAAAGCCCCGGGCUUAACCUGGGAACUGCGAUGGAAACUAGCGAGCUGGAGUGUGGCAGAGGGGGGUGGAAUUCCGCGUGUAGCAGUGAAAUGCGCAGAUAUCGGGAGGAACACCAAUGGCGAAGGCAGCUCGCUGGGACGGUACUGACGCUGAGACGCGAAAGCGUGGGGAGCAAACAGG
rnacentral:rRNA from 1 species